GAUGAACGCUGGCGGCGUGCCUAAUACAUGCAAGUCGAGCGAAUGGAUUAAGAGCUUGCUCUUAUGAAGUUAGCGGCGGACGGGUUAGUAACACGUGGGUAACCUGCCCAUAAGACUGGGAUAACUCCGGGAAACCGGGGCUAAUACCGGAUAACAUUUUGAACCGCAUGGUUCGAAAUUGAAAGGCGGCUUCGGCUGUCACUUAUGGAUGGACCCGCGUCGCAUUAGCUAGUUGGUGAGGUAACGGCUCACCAAGGCAACGAUGCGUAGCUGACCGGAGAGUGUGAUCGGCCACACUGGGACUGAGACACGGCCCAGACUGCUACGGGAGGCAGCAGUAGGGAAUCUUCCGCAAUGGACGAAAGUCUUACGGAGCAACGCCGCGUGAGUGAUGAAGGCUUUCGGGUCGUAAAACUCUGUUGUUAGGGAAGAACAAGUGCUAGUUGAAUAAGCUGGCACCUUGACGGUACCUAACCAGAAAGCCACGGCUAACUACGUGCCAGCCGCCGCAGUAA
rnacentral:rRNA from 1 species